GUCAUAAGUGUAGUCACAUGCCACCCUGUGUUGUGAAACUAGAAGGCUGGCUGUCCACAAGAAUGAGGAAGACUGAUUCCAGAACCACAGAGGAGGCCCAGAUGAAAUCAUUUUAAAGGUCUUCUAACUUUUGUUUAAAGUUGAAUAUAACAUGACAGGCAGUAGGAAUUGCGGUGGCUGCACCUGCCAGGGCUGAGUCAGGCUGAAGACAGGAUCCAGGAGUUUCAUCCAGAUCCAGCUCUCCCACAUGGAAGGCAGGAGCCCAAACACUUGAGCCAUCUUCCGCUGCUUUUCCCAGGCCAAUAGCAGGGAGCUGUUUUGCAAGUGGAGCAGCUGGGACAGGAACCAGCACCCACAUGGGUGGCUUUGUAAGAAUUUCUUCCAUUAAAUAACCCCCAACCUUCAAUUGACAGAGGAAAGGUAGAUGGCUCUGGAUUUGGAGAAAUGUCCUUCCUGCAAAUGGAAUAAGCCUAUCUUAAAUUAUUUUGUCCACGGAGAGCAGGCCAUUGUUAGGAAGGAUGCUUGUGUGUUUCACACUGAGACUGUCCGUCCCUCUGCCAGUGCAAUGAGAGAUUCUUCAGUGUAAGAAGCUGGUGAGAAAAACACAGAAAAGCCAAGGAUACUACUAGAAGCAUUCUUCAAGAUUUUCUCAUUUUCAUUCUUGUCUAUACAUAGCCUCCAUCAAUCCAUCAAAAUCCCCAUUUAAAUGUUCUUGUCAGUUUAUGGCUCUAAUAACUUUAGCUCCAAGUAAGCAGAUCUUGGCUUUGUCCCUCUGAAUUUCUCUCUCCACGGUGACACUUUACCCUGUAAUUGCACUUCUCUGAUGGGUCCAAGAAAAGACAUUGAUUUUCAAUUUGCUCAAUGCUUUCUCAUUGUAAAAAUAGGUGUGUUGAUUUCCAAGCUCUUAAUAUUGUUGAAGCUGAAACAAGAACUCUGAAUCCCUCUUGAACAGUCUAACAUCACUGGAUGUGGACUGGUGUUACAAAGUGAAAUGUAUGUUUUACACUUUAUUUAACUUUGCAUUCAGUUUUGUGCUAAGCAGAGUAGAAUUGAGACUUGAAAGACUGCAAAGAAUUAGUGUUGUGUCAACAGAAAGUGACAAACUGUCCCAUACAUCAGGAAAAUGGCACACUUCAGUAAAUCAGAAGAAUCAGGGAAUAUUACUAAGUGUAAUAGUUUCCUAAAUAACAGAGGAGAUUUGUACAAUGCAAAAGCAUAAUAAUGUUUUUCAGUGUUAGAUGAGUGUACUUGUGUUCUUCAAUAAAAUUAUAACCUUAGACACAGCAUGCUAUUAUUCACACUACUGAAGAAUGUGAAACUCAAAAGAGAAACCUAUAAAUUUUCAUUCAAACAAUAGCACCACACACCUAAUUUAUAUGUCUACUCAUUUCCAAACACUUGAUUUUACACAGCUGCCUGGAGUUUUGGCAGACAGCCUUGGAAAGGCAGCCCGAAUAAGGAGAAGGCAAGUCUAUUUAACCCAGCCCAUUCUGAUUUUAAGCGUUCAAGAGCAAAUAUCUCUAGUGUUCAGGCAACAGAGUUGGGAGGAGAGAACCAUGGAUGAGAGAAAAAAAAUUCACCAUGACUGAAGCUAGACUCUGUGUUAUAAUUCCAGGUUUAUUAUUUUUUAGUUCUAAUAGAUGGAUUAAAAAGCAAGCCAGAUAGUAAGAGGGAAAAGGAAUUUUCUCCAUUUACUGCUAGGUUCAUGACCAAGGCUCCAGUCACAGAAGCAGACAAAUAUGAGAAAAGCACAUGAACUUCUCUCAAAUAAAUUUUGUGUGACAUGGGGGCCUUAAAAAAUGAGGAUGCCUCAAAAUUGGUAAAUAUGUGCAUUUGUAGGCUUAAGUUUGACAAGGAGUAGAAAGCCAUGCUGAAAUAUGAUUGGACAAAGGGAGUGUAACCUAAAGGCAAAAAGUUGGGCAGGGGAGGAUUUCGAUAAGGUCUGUGUGCUCGAAUUCUUCCUUGUGUUCACAUUGUCAGAGAAAGGGCGUUCCUUUCCUCUGGGUAUAGAAGGGUUCCUAUAUAACGAAGGUCAUGUGACAUUAGAAGAAAGUCAAUUAUUCCAUUGCCUGUUUUGGAGAAGGGCAGGAGAAGGUAAGCAAGAUCUUCCUGUUUCAGUUGUCUUCCUAAGUUCCAAGUUGCCAUAUUUUGAGGUAGCAUGUCUGGAACCACAUCACUUGGAAGAAAAGCUUGGACAGUCUGAGAAGUGACUCCUUACUCCAUCCUGGCUGCAUUUCUGGGAUAGAAUUCUCAGAGUUGUUGAGGUGUGUUCUAGGGCAAGAGUGCUAAGCAAUCCUUUUCCAAGACUUGAGGGGCACCAAAGUCUGAUGUAGUUUUAGGAGAUAUAAACUCUUGGCUGGAGGAAGAAAUUUAGGGGCAAAUCUAAAUUUUCUCGGAGAGAAUUUUUUUUUUUUCAGUAUAAAGCAAGAACUCAUGUCAUAGAUGUUGGAAAUAUCCCAUGUCUUUUGUAGUUAAACCUUAAGUUCAAGAAAUAAUUGUGCUAUUUAUCCUAGGAAAGAAGUGUGUUAUGGAAAGAGUCUUGAAUGAAACUCAAGAAAGACCCAUGCAACAUUCAACCAUUUUGAUAAACACCAGAUGCUGGCAUAAGAUAAGUGCUUGUAUGCUGCCUUCUAGUGAUCACAAAUAUUUACUUGCUGAAGGUUAAUCCCUAUGUGACUAAUGGGCUAAUUUUACCUUUACAUAUCAUUUAGUUUUUGUUGUUGUUGUUGUUGUAGCAGUUAUCAAACUUUGUAAAGUUGAUUAUGACUGUAUUCAUUCUUUUGUGUUUCUUAUUUUAUUAAACAUGAUUUUUGUCAUAUUUAUACAUAUUUUUAUGUAUGGUAUAGUUUGUUCAUUUUUUGUUAUUAUGUUCUUUAUAAUGUGAAUACACCGUGAUUUAGUUUAUCUGCCUCUUAUUGAAAGGUAUCUAUCUAUUGCAAACCACAUCAAAAUGCAUAUUUUUUUGACAUGCAGAGUGGACAGUGAGAGAGAGAGAGAGAGAGAGAGAGAGGAAGGUCUUCCUUUUCCAUUGGUUCACCCUGCAAUGGCGGCUGCGGCCAGUGUGCUGUGGCCGGCACACCGCGCUGAUCUGAAGCAAGGAGCCAGGUGCUUCUCCAGGUCUCCCAUGUGGGCACAGAGCCCAAGGACUUGGUUCAUCCUCCACUGCACUCCUGGGCCACAGCAGAGAGCUGGACUGGAAGAGGAGCAACCAGGACAGACUCUGGCACCCCGACCGUGACUAGAACCCAGGGUGCUGGAGCCAUAGGCAGAGGAUUAGCCUAUUGAGCUGCGGCGCUGGCCAAAAUGCAUAUUUUUAUAUGUGUACUUUCACUCAAUUUCUUAAAUCCUAUUUUUACCUGCCUUUGUGCAAAUAAAUGAAGACCACAAAAAGAAAUGCAAAGCUGUUUACUCAAAAUUAUUAUAGCAAGUGAGUCAGAAACAGAGUGCAGAGACUCAAGGCAAAUAGAGAAUGGGAAAUCUUUAAAAUGGAAGAAAUGCGGAUCCGGCUCAAAAGCCCAUGAGAGUAUUUCAGGAAUGGAAAGCCAAGACACUCUGGCAAAAAACAAACAAACAAACAAACAAACAAAAAAAAAACCAAAAACCAAAAACCAAAAACAAAAAACAAAAACAAAAACAAAAAACCCUAAAUGAAAGAUCUCCGCGAGCGAGAUCCCAGUGGAAAGAACGGGUCAUCAAAGAAGGAGGUACCUUUCUCUGAAGGGAGGAGAGAACUUCCACUUUGACCAUGGCCUCGUCUAAAUAUGAUCAGAGUCAGUGAACUCAGGGGGCUUCCAUAGCCUUGGCAGCUCAUGACAAGAGCCUAGGGUGAUUACUGAGGCCAUAAACAAGAGUGUCAAUUUGUUAAGCCAACAACAGGAGUCACUGUGCACUUAACUCCUCAUGUAGGAUCUCUGUCCUUAGUGUGCUGUACAUUGUGAUUUAAUGCUAUAACUAGUACUCAAACAGUAUUUUUCACUUUAUGUUUCUGUGUGGGAGCAAACUGUUAAAUCUUUACUUAAUGUAUGCUAAACUGAUCUUCUGUAUAUAAAGAGAUCGAAAAUGAAUCUUGAUGUGAAUGGAA